UCUGAGCAGAAAACGGGGCAGUGGUGGCAUGGGGAGCUGUGUGAGACUUCACAGGUCACCGAGGAGAUGCCAUUCUCCAAAUCUCUUUCAGCCUCUUGCUUCAUCCUGCUGACUACAUCUGUCCCCAGCACUGCCCCCUCCCCAGCUCAGAUUGCAGUCUUCAUGCAAAUUUAUGUAAAGCAGAUGCAAAUGCCCUAUGGUUCUGUGGGUGCUGUAGCCUGAGGGCAUUAAAGGGACUCUGGUUUGCUUCUGGUAUUUUUUUAAAUAUACUUUAUUGUCAAAUUGGCGACCACACAGUGAGUACAGUGUGCUCUCGGUUUGGGGAGUAGAUUCCCGUGAUUCAUCGCUUACAUGCAACACCCAGUGCUCGUCCCAACAACUGCCCUCCUCGAUGCCCAUCACCCACUUUCCCCUCUGCUCCCCCCUCCGAUCCACCCUCAGUUUGUUCUCUGUAUUUGAGUCUCUUAUGGUUUGCCUCCCUCCCUCUCUGUUUGUAACUACUUUUUUUCCCCCUUCCUUUCCCCCAUGGGAUGCAAACUGGUGGAGCCGCUCUGGAAAACAGUGUGGAGGUUCCUCAAAAAAUUAAAAAUAGAUCUACCCUAUGACCCAGCAAUAGCACUGCUAGGAAUUUAUCCAAAGGAUACAGAAGUGCUGAUUCAUAAGGGCACAUGUACCCCAAUGUUUAUAGCAGCACUUUCAACAAUAGUCAAAUGAUGGAAAGAGCCUGAAUGUCCAUCCACUGAUGAAUGGAUAAAGAAGAUGUGGUUUAUAGAUACGAUGGGAUACUGCUUGGCGAUGAGAAAGAAUGAAAUCCGGCCAUUUGCAGCAACGUGGAUGGAACCGGAGGGUGUUAUGCUGGGUGAAGUAAGUCAGUCAGAGAAAGACAGUGUUCACAUACGUUUGGUACAUUAACUAAAGUCAGAGGAUCAUGAAAACUGGUCUCUCUAGAGAAGCCACAUGAAGAUAAUGGACACGUGAUCUUACCGGUCCCUUCAGCUGACCUGUCAUCAGUUUCUUGACCUUCUCGAAGACCCUUCCACCGUGAUCCCUUCUCCCAUCUCCCCGCCGCCAGGAUCACACUCCCUUCGCAAUUCUCCCAGAGUGCUUUGUCUACACCUCUAGAGGGACCGGCCACUGUCUGCCCUGCAUCACAGCUGACGUGAGAUGUCCGGAUAGACAAACCAGAGCAGGUGCCUCUGCAGGAGUUCGUGAUCUCAUGGGGGAGAGAGGCAUGGAAACACACAAAUACACUUGUUUUGAGCCGCUGAUACUGGGCAGGAGUGGGGAGUCAUAUAAGUAAAUCAAAAGGUCUGUAAU